GAGACAAAUCCACCUACUUCCAGCAUUUCCCAGCAGGACAUUUUCUCCUAAGGAUUAACUCAGCUGUUUCCUGGGUGCUGGAACAGAUGGCAUUGGAUACGUUAUUCUACUGAGCCACUGGAGCAGAAAUUUCCACCACCGAUCAAACCUCGUUAUUGCAUUAGAUUUUGCACAUCAGGGGGGAAAAAAAAAGAGAGUGAAAACUUUUAAGUAUUUUACAUCUGCUGAUAGAACUUUUUACCUCCCAAGGGCAGCGUUUUGCCCUUGCUGACGCUGGUUUUUGGGGGGUUGUGCAGUGGGAGUCGCACAAAUGGAAAAUACCCCAAGUGCCCCGGGGGGGGUGACACGUUUGGUUAUUGCUGCCCUGAGCUGCACAGUGGUUACAGCUGUGACCUCAGCUGGGACUGCUACAGCACCAACCUGGGAGAGACUGAGACUUGCUGAGCUCUGUGUUGACCUGAGAUGUUGCUGUUCUACACCAGACACGUGGGAAGGAAGGAAAGCUACACAAAACUUCUGCUAAUUCCAAGAAGAUGCACGGACAACAGUUACUCUCAGAUGAAGGGCCUGCCUAAAACACCUUUUCUCACAAAGAAAACAUCCUGAACAGGAUGCAGUGAAGACCCACAGUCUGCUUCAGAAAUGAGAUUUGAGGUCAAGACAGAUCCUGCCCUCCUCGCCCCAUCUGACCGCCUGUACAAGUCAUUUAUCCCAGAUCUGCAUGGAAAGAGGGGGAUGAAUUUCACAUCCAAGAGGUCUCUGCGUAACAGACAGCAAGAUAAACUAAAUGGUGUCUUAAAA